rnacentral:rRNA from 1 species
UACGGAGGGUGCAAGCGUUAUCCGGAUUCACUGGGUUUAAAGGGUGCGUAGGCGGGCAGGUAAGUCCGUGGUGAAAUCUCUGAGCUUAACUCAGAAACUGCCAUGGAUACUAUUUGUCUUGAAUAUUGUGGAGGUAAGCGGAAUAUGUCAUGUAGCGGUGAAAUGCUUAGAUAUGACAUAGAACACCAAUUGCGAAGGCAGCUCACUACGGGAUUAUUGACACUGAGGCACGAAAGCGUGGGGAUCAAACAGG